GACGAACGCUGGCGGCGUGCUUAACACAUGCAAGUCGAGCGGUAAGGCCCUUUCGGGGGUACACGAGCGGCGAACGGGUGAGUAACACGUGGGUGACCUGCCCUCAGCUCUGGGAUAAGCCUGGGAAACCGGGUCUAAUACCGGAUAUGACUCCAUGACGCAUGUUGUGGGGUGGAAAGCCUUGUGCGGCUGAGGAUGGGCCCGCGGCCUAUCAGCUUGUGGUGGGGUGAUGGCCUACCAAGGCGACGACGGGUAGCCGGCCUGAGAGGGCGACCGGCCACACUGGGACUGAGACACGGCCCAGACUCCUACGGGAGGCAGCAGUGGGGAAUCUUGCGCAAUGGGACGAAAGCCUGACGCAGCGACGCCGCGUGAGGGAUGAC
rnacentral:rRNA from 1 species